rnacentral:rRNA from 1 species
UACGUAGGGGGCAAGCGUUGUCCGGAUUUAUUGGGCGUAAAGAGCGUGUAGGCGGCUUUGCAAGUCCGUUGUGAAAACUCGAGGCUCAACCUCGAGACGCCGGUGGAAACUGCAAAGCUAGAGUCCGGAAGAGGAGAGUGGAAUUCCUGGUGUAGCGGUGAAAUGCGCAGAUAUCAGGAAGAACACCCGUGGCGAAGGCGGCUCUCUGGGACGGUACUGACGCUGAGGCGCGAAAGCGUGGGGAGCGAACAGG